CGCGAAGCCAGGCGAGCUACUACGAGGCGUAUGUAGUACACUAUAUGUGGCAUAAUAUCAGUAGAUCGUGUAGUAGGGGUGAGAGGCUAUCAAGUCUGUCGAUAUCUCGUUAACUUUGAGAUGUAUUUAGUACAAUGUCAGUUUGUUAGUGAUAAGGCUAGCAAAGGUUAUAUGAUUUAAUUACGAUUGACUACACAGUCUAAUCGCUAGUAGUUUGAGACUCUAAUAUUUAUAUUAGAUAGCAGUUGAGAAUAAAAGUUACUAUCAAACUUAUCCGAAAUGUUUUUACUGUAGGUAUUAGUAAUUAAGAUAUCGUUGAUGAACUCGGCAAUAUUUCCUUCACCUGUUUAUCAAAAACAUCGCCAUUAGCAGGCACUAUUGGUUAUUUCUGCUCCAUGUACUAUAAAUAGCCGCAGUACCCUGACUGUGCAAAGGUAGCAUAAUCAUUUGGCUUAUAAUUGAAGUCUGGUAUGAAUGAAUACAUGGGGGAAAACUCUAUUAGCGAUAAUAAAUGAAAUUACUUAGCGGGUGCAAAUGCCCACCGGAAAAUAAUAGACGAGAAGACCCUUGAAAUUUUGACAACGUGUAAGAUGUAGUUUUUGUUGGGGCAACAUAGUAGCAUUUAAUCUACAAUAGUAACCUGACAUGUAUUAGUAAGAUAAAAUUACUCUAGGGAUAACAGCGUAAUUUUUAAAAGUUUGCGACCUCGAUGUUGGACUAGGAAGCAGAUGCUUAGAA
rnacentral:rRNA from 1 species